AGUGAACGCUGGCGGUAGGCCUAACACAUGCAAGUCGAACGGCAGCACAGUAAGAGCUUGCUCUUACGGGUGGCGAGUGGCGGACGGGUGAGGAAUACAUCGGAAUCUACUUUUUCGUGGGGGAUAACGUAGGGAAACUUACGCUAAUACCGCAUACGACCUACGGGUGAAAGCAGGGGAUCUUCGGACCUUGCGCGAUUGAAUGAGCCGAUGUCGGAUUAGCUAGUUGGCGGGGUAAAGGCCCACCAAGGCGACGAUCCGUAGCCGGUCUGAGAGGAUGAUCAGCCACACUGGAACUGAGACACGGUCCAGACUCCUACGGGAGGCAGCAGUGGGGAAUAUUGGACAAUGGGCGCAAGCCUGAUCCAGCCAUACCGCGUGGGUGAAGAAGGCCUUCGUGUUGUAAAGCCCUUUUGUUGGGAAAGAAAAGCAGCAGGUUAAUACCCCGCUGUUCUGACGGUACCCAAAGAAUAAGCACCGGCUAACUUCGUG
rnacentral:rRNA from 1 species